UGUGCGUAUUGUUAUGCGUUUACUUUUCUACAUUGGCUAGAGGUAUAGGAGGGAGGGUUGAGAUCUCACAAACAUGUUUAACCCCGCCGCAUUUUUGCGCCUGUCCCAAGUCAGGAGCCUCUGGUCUUUGUUAGUCUUGUAUUAUUUUAAUUUUAGUUUCUUGUGUACAAUUUGGAAAUUAGUAUGGCGUUCAUUAUCACUGAACUAGUAUAUAUUUGUUUAGGGGCCAGCUGAAGGACGCCUCCGGGUGCGGGAAUUUCUCGCUACAUUGAAGACCUGUUGGUGACCAUCUGCUGUUGUUUUUUUUUUGUUUUUUUUUUCUAUGGUCUGGUUGUUGUCUCUUUGGCACAUUCCCCAUUUCCAUUCUCAAUUUUAU
rnacentral:lncRNA from 1 species